rnacentral:lncRNA from 1 species
UCAGUUAUUAGGAGCAGAGAAGCAUGUAAGCCAUUUUAUUUAUUAUAUUCCAUCUUAAAUGAAGAUUCACUCGAAUCAUAUGCUUUACCUGAAACGACACUGAGAGCUGAAAUUGCUGGUCCAUAAUUACCUUGUUUAGGUAUGCAGCAGGUCCCUUUACCAGCCCAAAAUAGGUGAAUUUCGAGAUGGUUUUCUGACACAGUAGCACUGAAGUUUUUUAUAAUAGCUCUGUUAGGCCCUCCCGCCUCCUUUGAUAUGUCAAAAUCCUUCCACCGGAGAGUUCCCUAGAAGAUCGACAAUUAGAGAUAGAAUUAUUAUUUCUCAAUGCAUAAAAAGAGAGAGAGAGAGAGAGAGAUUGUAAUCUCGGAAUCACAUGAUCUCCAGCUCCAAAUUUUUGGUUCAGGGCAUUUGUUUACCUGAACAUAGAUAUCAAAAACACGCCUUCCACGACUCUCCCACCUUUCUGUGCUUGGAUCAGGAAAAUUUGUUUCUGCGAAUAACAAGCUUACAUUAUAAGGUCCAUUCACAAGACCCAGGCCAUAGUAUCUAAGUGAUCCGGCGGAUAUCCUUGACGUCUGAUAAAGCUUUGGAGUCCGGGUGCCCGUCACUUGAUCUUGAGUGUUUAGCACAUAAGAUGCAUUUUCUCUUCCAUUAAACAGACCCACUUUACUAACUGCCCAUUUUUCUGUAUUGGUCACAACAAAGGCCGAUGCGCCAAGAUAUGAGUUAUCACCCUCAUACACUAUGUUAUCAGCUCUCAUUUCUGGACUAGCACAUUUGAUUGAGAAGUUUGCAUCUGCAAAUGCAAAGACAAAAAUCGCUAGCUAUUUUCAGAUUGAAUUCCGACAUCAAAUUUCAACAAUUUUUUUGCAUAAAGGUCAAUAACUGGGUAAUAGGAAAUCAUUCAGGCAGUGUUUUUUUUAUUUACACAUCCAGCACGUUACAAAUAUUUUUCAAUUCUCAUCACAUGGAAACUCACUUUAUCACAUCAAAGCUUUUUAAAGCCAAGAUGGCUUAAUACACCAAAUUUACAAUGUAACUACUCUACAAUUUCGACUGACAGUGGUAACAAAAAUUAUCCCCACUUGCAACAAAGCUACCUGAAGUCAUAUUUAAAACUUCUGUACUACUUCCUGCUCUUAUUAAAGUUUUUUCCUCAGCAAUUCAGAAGUAUAGUUAGACAGGCGUUCUUUCUUCUUAAGUGUGGAGCCACAAUAGCUUAUGAAAAUAUGAAACUGCAAACAGCACAGAGAAGGCAGCUUACAUUGUGGAGCAUUUCUAUUGCAUGUGAAGUUCCUCUGAAGACAGUUCAAUCCUGGAAAGACACUGGCAAGCACAGAGAACAAUUAGUUCACAUUAUCUGUUAACAUGAUUAAAAGAAAAGUAAAGGACCAAAACUCACCUUAUGUUUGAUAUGUCAAAUUUGAAGUUGUUCACUGCCAGAUUCCUAUACAGUUCCAUGCAAUGCAUUAAUUGUAAAAUUUUUGGACAGAGAUGCAAGGGCAGGAGACUUCAUGAAAUUCUCAUACAACUGUUAUAGUAGAAUGAUAAAAGUAAAGAAACUAGGACCAUUGGUUUAGUAUGAGCAAUAAGCUUGACAAGGUCUGAACUCCAGCACAAAGAGGCAAUUCUAGAAAAUGAAGAUGAACGGAGCAUUAUCAUAGUUUAAGAGACAUACAUUUGUAAUUCUGAAUUCACCCACAAUGGAAAAGUUCCUGAUAGAUGAUUAUGAGAUAAAUCUCUGCAGGAAAAAUUUUGUUAAGCACUAGUAAACAAGUUCAAACAUGUGAACCAACGUAUAUAUAUGUUAGACAAAUAAAAAACCUGGCUGAGUAUAUUGUUUUGUUGCCAGAGAAAGAAGCCAGAAGUCACAGCUGAUGCAUGCAUGGAAGAUGAUAAUCACUGGCCUAAAUCUAAAACACUUUCAAAUCGAAACAUGCAACGUAUAUUCUCAUGGUUUGAAUUGCAAGUACUGAGGAGAAAAUCAGUGUUUAUCUGUGGGUAUAAGGGCACAUUGAGGAGCAAGCAUAGGGAUGAAUUUCUAGAAUUUUUCUUUCAAUAAAUCAGAAAGCUGAACCAAAGCUUACAUUUUUUGAAGGUUUUCACUUUUUUGAUCAGGAAGUGUUCCUGACAAACUAUUGUUUCCAAGAAACCUGGCCAUUGAAAGCAGCGUAAGCAGCAUUGGCAAUAACAAAACAAUGACCAAAGUCCAAAAGUAAAAAUCUUGAAUUGAUGAAGGAAAGCUUCAAAGAAUUUACAAGUAUUCAAGAGAAUCGAUAUUGAACAAAGUUGCUGGGAUUUGGCCUGUUAAGUUGUUGAAACUCAAGUCCCUGCAAAAUAUAGAUAAAAAUUUUGGGAAAAAUAUAUAUCAAAAUGAGAAAAGGAAAGUGGCACUAUAUAAUUUAUUUCUUAAUAUCAACUUACAAUAUCUGUAACAUUUGAAGCUCUCCAAUUCCAGAUGGAAUAGUACCAGUGAUCAGAGCAUUUCUUAGGGACCUAUGGAGUAGAAGAACAAAAAACCAACUCAUAACUAAUCAGAGUCAAAAUGAGAAGGCUGCCAAACACAAUGAAAUAUAUAGGCAGUAUACUUACAAGUCAUUUAAGUUCUUCAAACUCAUAACGAAAUCAAGAGAUGAACUCACGUUAUAUAUAUCGCCCAUUUGUCUAAACAAUCAAUUCAAACAUCACGGAUAUGAUUCAUGCUUCCAAAGAGAGAAUGAGAGACCAAGAGAUUGUCAGGAAAAGAUUUACUCACAAGGAUUCUAAUGAAGCCAACUUAGACAAACUGGAUGGGAUAGGACCUUGAAAAGAAUUCCCCUGAAAUCUCCUACAGCAACAUUUUGACAAACAUGUUAGGAAAACUAUCAGAAGCCAAGCAAAAUCUUUAAUGCGCUACACAGAACACAGAUAAUGUAUAUAGUCAAGGAGUUAUACGAAGCAUACAAGGACUUAAGCUUAGUCCAAUUGCCAAUGAAGUCUGGUAUUUUGCCUGUAAAAGGAUUAUCUGAUGCCCACCUGAAAUUUAACAAAUUAAUCAAUUUAGGCAGCACAAUCUUUAUGCCGGAGAGAAACAAAAUGUCAUAUGUAAAAAACUUUGCUUACAGAGUUUGCAUAUUGCGAAGUUUAGCAAAUGUGGAGGGAAUUUCACCACCGGCCCCACAACUGUCUAUGUAACUGUUGAAUUUAUCAAUUGAAAAUUACUUUGUUUCAUAAACCUGCAGCUUUGCUAAAUUGAAAAAAAAAAUGAUAAUGAUCAAAUAUGUAAAAAGAAAGAAAGAAAUUUAGAAACUACAGUUGCUCAAGUUUGGCUAAGUUGCCAAGUUCUGGAGGGAGCGCUCCUGAGAAAUUGUUGGUACCAAAAGCACUGCAAUUUGAAAUUAAAAUUUUUACACUGAUUUAAAAGAAGAAGAAGAAGAAUAAAAAUAAAAAUGAAAUUCCAAUCUUACAGAACAGUUAACUCCUUAAGGUUUCCCAGCUCCCUGGGGACAGGCCCCGAGAAGUCAUUGUGGGAAAAUGACCUGUACACAAAAAUAUAACACUCCGUUACACAACACACAAAGAAUAAAGAAUUUGCAGCCUAAUCCAAAAAUCAAAUCAGAGAAUAUUAGAAAAAGCCAAUUUCAAUACUUACAGAAACAUCAAUCGAGACAAAUUUCCAAUAAAUGAAGGCAAGGGGCCAGUGAAGAAAUUUUGAUCAAUUUUCCUACAAAAUUCAAAGAGAAAUUGUUAAUCAUGUUGAUUACAUAAAUUUGAUUUAUACAUACAAACUGAAGGACAGAUAAUAUAUAUAAGUGACAAAUCCAUACAGAACUGUCAGGUAUUGCAAAGUUACUAGCUCUUCAGGAAUCACCCCUUUUUUGUUUAGUCCAUAUACUCUCCUGUGAAAAAAAAAAAACAAACCAUUAGAUUGCAGAUGCAUCAACCAUUUUAGAAAUUAAUAUUAAUUAACAAGCGCAGAGAUAUACUAAGAGAGCAUUACAGUUUAGUAAUGUGGCAAGUAGCACCAUUGUCAAAGGUGCAGUUACAAACAAUAGCAGGAUUGUUAUUUGGGCUCUCAAAUUCAGAAUCAGUUGCAUUGAGUGCAGAUCCACUGCAUGGGUUUCCACUUAUGUUCCAUAAUGGCGCGGCCGGUGCAUCCCAUUGCUGCAGUAUUGAGUUCAGUGCCCUCACUGCUCAUCAAACACAUGCAUGCUAGUUUGUUACCAAAUGAGAUCAUUUAAUUCCAUAAAUUCAUUAACAUAUUGUGAUGCACCUGCAUGCUUGUAAGCCAAACGCCGCUGAUUUUCAAAAGCAACAGCAAGCUGUUUGUUUUAGAGUGCAUUUGGGAUUGAGAUUCGACAGCUGUAACUUAAAAGUUAUAGUAUUUAAGUGUUUAAUAAAUACUAACUGCUGUAUCUUUUAAGCUAUUUUGAUAUGAUUUUUCACUUAUAUAAUGAAAAAUAUAUUAUAUCUUAAUAAUUUUAUCAAAAUUAUUAUUUAAAAAUUAUAUUCAUUAUAUAUUAUUAAUUUUUAUUUUAUAAUUAUAAUUUUUUUUCCACAACAACUGAAGUUUAAAAGCUGCAGCACCUCAAUCCCAAAUAGACUCUUAAUUAGAGCACACGCAUACUUCACAUGCGUGCUUGCCGUGCAUGCUUAUAUACGGUGGGCACAUAUAAAGUGAAGAAUUGAAGCAGCUCUCACCAUUUUCAUAAUCGAACCAUAAAAAACAAUUGGAAGAUAGAAGAAAUUGAAAGAAAACGAGAGAAAGAAAGAAAAGAAAAGAAAAGAAGAGAUAAAAUAGAAAGAAGAAAAUAUAAGGAGAAAAGAAAUUAAGAAGCCAAGAGUGAAAAUCAAGUAAUAAUGAAAGCUAAUACGGGAAAGUUGAGGGGACAUGGAAUUCAACAGUUAGAUUUAUAUUUCGAGAAUUAGUGGAUAAUGGAUUUAGAAAGUAUGAACAGUUAUGUUAUAAUUUUUAGCAUACUUUUGAGUUUUUAUAUCAGUCGUUAAUUUUUUAUAGUAGUUUUUUAGUCUAAAAUUUUAAAGUGUGGAAAAGGUUUGAAAUUUUUUUUAAAUUACACAUCUUUAAAGAAUUAUGAAAUUAACACUUUAAUACUGUAGGAUUUAAAAGAUUUAUUGGACUUUCUCGCACUUUAAAAUUUAAAAUUAGAAAAUUUCUAUAAUUUUUGAAUCUUGUGUUUAAAAGAAAUUUAAGUUCUUAGGAAUUAACAAAAGCCCCACAAAACAAAACAGUAAUUGAGUCAGGAUUUGUGAGAUGAUUUAAUAGUAUGAUUUAGUAGUAUAUCAUGAUUAUAUGUAUGCUCAUUAUAUGAGUGAUUGAAUCCCUAAAUGUGAUUGCCAAGCACCAUAUGUGUACUCUUCUUGUUAAGUACUUUGCGUAUACAUAUUGAGAGUUAGAGUACUAUACCUGUGUGAUGAAGUUAAAUUCCGUUGGAUAUUAAGAGGUUAUUCCUCACUAUAUUCACGCAAUGAUAAUCCCGACGAGUGCGACAAUUAUUUCCCCUGGGUAUUAUUUAGUGCAUUUUUCUCAUGUAUGAUUUUAUGUUUUCUUAUGUAUUAUGUUCAGUGUAGAAUUAUGUCAUAUGAUUGUGUAUAAUUAUUAGUGCACUACUUUAUUUUAAUAUAUAUAAUUGUAUCUACUCAUUGAACUGCAAGUUCACCAUUUUCUUAUUUAUCCAAAUUUUUCUAGGUUUUCGCAGGGUUUCAUACAGUUCAUUUUCCAAUUAGUUGAGGUUGGACCACGACGUGCAGUGCUGCAUGACUUGCAUUUUAAGCACGUUUAUGCUCAUAUGUAUAUAUUUAAGAUAUAUGCAUAUAUAGUAAGAUGUGAAGUGUGCAAAUUUCAAAUAUGCUUUUGAAUAAGGUAUAGAUGUUAUUAUAUAUUUUAACGUGAUGUAGUCGUUCUUUAGUGUGGGUGCCAUUUUUUUAUGCGGCAUGCUUUUAAACCAUGGUAUUUAAGAGAGUUAUGUUUUUUUUACUCUUUUAAGCCAUACGGUUUAAAAACGUGAUAUGCAUUAAAAAAAAAAAAAAAAGAGGGCGCUUGCACCUGAGAAUCAUUUUCAGGUUCGAGUACUUUUUUUUUUUUAAUGUGAACACACUGCUAAACCGUGCGAUUUAGUAGCGUGUCUAGAGUUGACAAAAACACGGCCUUGAAGUCUGGUCGACAUGAGUUGGGCCUGAAUAUGGGUUGAAAAAUAUAAAGUCGACACAAAUUGGAUCUAAAUAAGGGCCUAGCUUUUUAAUUUAUACAAAAAAAAAUUAAAUUUAAAUAAAAAACUCAAAAUAUUAAAUUAAUAUUUUUUUCAUAUUAGUAUUUGUGAUUUAUUAUGUUGUGUUAUUUUGUGUAUUAGACUAUUAUUCUAUUAUCUAUUGGAUAAUUAUUUUUUAUUUAAAUAUUUUUUAUUUUAUUAAAAAAUUAUUUUAUAUUUAAUGGAACAAGCCCAAGUCUGGCUCAAGGCCUGUCCAUCCAAACUUGGACUUAUCUAGGCUUGUUGUCUACAAUAUGGACAUGGGCUCAGGCUUGGAAAAAACUUAAAUAAGUCCAUAUUUUGCCAACCUAAACGUGUUUGUAUUGACUCUAUUAAAUUGCACAAUUUAACAAUGCAUUCGUAUGAAAAAAAAAAAGAGCUCACACAUUAGAGAAUGGCUAUAUAUGUACACUUUAGAGUUAAUGCACUUUAGAUAUGAUUAUAUAUAAAAUCAAUAUCUGUUUUUUUUUUAUUAUUAAUUAAAGAGUGAAUACGUACAACAAAUUUUAAAUUAGAAGAUUUUGAAUUCCCUCGUGUACGAUGUAAAAGUAUAAACACAGUUAACAAAUUUGAUAAAAAUUAAAUUAAGAGUUUCUAGCAAAGAAUGCCAAAAUUCAGUCCUGCCUCUAAAUUAAUUAAGUUAUCGCCUUUUUUUUUUUUUGGCCCUUUUGCGGUGGGGGUGGUGGCGUAUGGAAUGAACAUUUAUAUCGUACUGUUUGGGAUAUAAUUUGGAAGGUUUAGGAUCACUCUUUUUCAGAACGUUUCAACUCAUUUAUUAAGAAGGAUCCACAUGCUUGACUAAUAGGGGCUUGAAACCAGGCAGCGAAGAUAGUCCUUAAUUAUUGUAUGUAUCUAUGAUAUAUCUCAAUGUGAAAAUUUCAAUUAUUAUAAUUAUUAUAUUGAAAAAAAAAAGUGGUCCCAUUAGAUGAAGAAAUUAUUGAAGUUAAAUAGUUAAAGGUCUUUAUAUAUGUAGCCUCGUUUGUUUGAAGUCUAAAGAGAUAAUAAUGUGAAAUAUAUGAUUUAGGAAAAUAAAUUGGAAUUGCACAACUACUUUCACUUUUUGGAAACAGAAAAAGUCCACGAUUUUUUUUUUAGGAAUUUUAGGACUCAGAAUUAUAUAAAUAUAAAAUUUUAGAAAGUUAAUUAAUAUAAAAGCUCACUGUGCAUAUAAAGUUAAUUGUUUUCAGAAAAGAACCAAGCUACUACACAUACACAUAAUUAAUUUAUGUCAAAUUAAACAAAGAAAAGAAAAAAGAAAAAGAAAAGAAAAGAAAACGGCGGGCGGUGGCUGGCUAGCAAGAGAAUUAAUUAACGAGGAGAAAUUAAAUGUGUUAAAGAAAAUGGAUAUAUAUACCUUCAGCAGGGUCGGUCGUAGCAUUGGUGUUAUGUUGAGCGUUGGAUAAACAAAUUAGCAGGAAGAGAUGAGCGAAUAGUAGUGAGGAAGAAAGCAGCAGCUUCAACGAUCCCACUCCAAAAUUCAUCUUCAUUUCUCGUUACAAUUUACAAACCCAGAAUAAGGAGAAUUUAAUGCUAAUUUUUGAAUCUAUAGUUUUGUUAAAGUUAAAGAAUAUGUAGAAGAAGAAGAAGCUGGCCAGAGUCAGUCAAUAUUUGUCUUUUUCUCCAGUGUCGUGCAAGCAUUUUAAGUCGUUCCAUCUAUCAAAGAAAAGUCGUUCAAAAACAAAAUAAAAAAUAAAAUAAAAUAAAAAUGUAUCAGAAUUGACCAAAUUCAACUCUCAUAUGUGCAUAAUAAAAACAAUAUAAUACAUUGCAUCUUAACCAAUACGAUGAAAUCUUAGUGUCUCUUUCCCACCCUCACCGGAUUAUUAUCAUCCACAGCACUUUUGCCGACGCAAACUCAACAUAAAAUUGUAUCAACAUAUUCAAUUUAGAAGAACGCAGAGUGUUACUCCCAGGGACACAGUACAUUUGUACACACCCACAGCAGAAGAGGGGGAAAACAAUAUCUGCACAUGCGGAAGAAGCAAAGCAAUGAAUUAAUCAGAGUCUAGACGUUGGCUGAAUUGUCGGGCUUGAAUUUAGUAGCAGCAGCAGCAGGAGGGGAUGGGUAAGUGAAUGUAGUAGCUUCACUGCCUGUGCCUGGCUGUCAAGGAAGCUCAUAUUUGCAAGAGCAGAGGAUCACAGCAGCAGCCACAUUCAGUUACGAGUUGAUGAUAUGGCAUGCCAGCUGGAGUCUGGUGGUUAUGUAAAUAGUUGUGCAUGUGUUAAUUAGCUUAAGCUGUUAUGAUUAGUUGUUAGAAUCAGUUAAUUAGCUGUAGCUAAUUACAACUAUCUAAGCUGAGCUUCAGCUUAGUAUAAAUAGCAACAGCAUUGUGUAUAUCAUUAAUAACAUGAUUAAUGAAAAUGAUGUUCUAGAAAACUCUUAGAUUCCGUUCUUAUUUUCUCAUUGAUUUUCUCAGUUGCCAAACAAUAUUUUCAUUCUUCAACUUGGUAUCAGAGCUAGUAGCAAUGGUUUCAGUCCAUCUAGUUUCUUUUUCUUCUCAAGCGCCAGUCAAUCACACAACUGUUAACUCAACAAAUGUGACAUUCACUUUCAAUACACCUAUUAAGCUAGAUCAAUCCAAUUAUUUGAUUUGGCGAUCUCGAGUUCUUGCUUUAAUUCGUGGCAACAGACUUGAGAAAUUCAUUGAUGACUCAACCACUCCACCUCCUUCACACAUUGCUCAAAGAAUUAGAGAUGAUCUGAGAUCUGUAGAGAAUCUAGACUUUGUAACUUGGAGAUCACAAGAUCAGGUGCUUCUUGGCUGGUUGCUUUCUUCAAUGAGUGAAGGUAUCAUUAGUCUAGUUUUCAAUCUAGAGACUUCUCAUGAGGUAUGGAAAGCUAUUGAAGUUCAAUUUGGAUCACAAUUUAAAUCUAGGCUUCUACACUUGAGAUAUAUGAUGAACUCAACUAGGAAAGAUGAUCUAAAAAUUACUGAUUAUUUCAUUAAGAUGAAAAAUAUUGUUGAUAAUAUGGCUGCAGCAGGAAAUGCAUUAAGUGAUGAUGAUUUAAUUCUGCAUAUACUCUUUGGCUUAGGUCCAGAUUAUAACUCUAUUGCUACCUACAUUACUGGACAAGUAAGAGUGAGGAAAAUGAAUGUAAACGAAGCUUAUGCUAUGCUCCUAACUCAAGAAGUUAGGAUUGAACAACAAACUCAUAUGCUGGCUAAUACAGAUGUGAAACAAAAUUUUGAGGCUAAUCUUGCUCACAACAGAGGUUAUAAAAGGGGAAAUAUGUCAGGAGGAAAAGGUUUUGGUGGCUUUGGAUAUAAUUCUGGCUAUGGAAACAUUAACAGUGCUGGCUAUAAAGGAGGUUAUGGAGGCUCUGGAUUUAAUGCUAACAGUGGAAAUGCUUAUGGCACCAAUCAUCAGUUCAAAGCUUAUCAAGGAGAUAAUCAGAGAGGUUGAGGAGGAGGUAACUGGAAUUAAAAUGCUUGAAAUAGUGGAUUUAACAAUAGUAGACCGCUUGGAAACAUUAAACCUCAGUGGAAUGUCUCUAAGCCAACCUGUCAAAUCUGUUUCAGAACAGGUCACACUGUUAAUAUUUGCUAGAAACUUGAAGAGUUUAUUGCAUCUGGAGCUUACAGACCACCACCAAACAGAAAUCCAAAAUCUACAUAUUUGGCUAAUAUGGAGGGACCUGCUGAUGCAAAUUAGUAUCUGGAUAGUGGUGCAACACACCAUCUGACAAAUGAUAUCAACAAUAUGCAUGUUUCUAAAGCUUUUGUAGGUACAUCUAAACUUUUUGUUGGCAAUGGUGCUGGAUUAAAUAUAACACACAUUGGAAGUGCUGCAUCGAAAUCAUAUAACUCCAAUAAUGCCUCCUUUAACUCUUAAACUAAAUGAUAUCCUUUUAGUGCCACAAAUUACUAAAAACCUCAUUAGCAUCUCUAAGCUCACAAAAGAUAAUGACGUUGUGAUAGAGUUUACUGAUAACUUUUGUUUUGUGAAGGACAAGGUGAGGAAUUUGAUCAUACUGCAGGGCAAGGCUGAAAAAUAUUUAUACAAAUUGCUAUUGGUUGCAUCUAAUAAGAUAGUCUCUUCUACUUCUAAUCAAAGCUAUGUUGUGGAGUUAAUUGUAUCAACUACUCCUCUUUCAAUGUUUUCAGUUGUCAAUUCUACUAUUUCAAAUAACACCUCUUGCCUGUAUACUGCAGCAACUUCUUGUAAAAAUUGAGUGUUUGUUAAGUACAUCUGUACUGCAUCAAAGAUUGGGAUAUCUAUCUUCUAAGAUCUUGAAUCAUGUAAUCAAAUCAUGUUCAUCUCUCAAUCUUGUCAAUAAGAAUAAAACCUUUUAUUUAUGUGAUGCUUGUAAAAUAGGAAAAAUGCACAAGCUUCAUUUUCCAGCUACUGAUAUCAAAACAAAGUCUCCCCUGGAAAUAUUACAUACUGAUUUAUGGGGACCAGUCCCUGUGAUUUCAUUACAAGGCUACGUAUAUUAUGUAAGCUUUAUUGAUGAUUUCACAAGAUUUACUUGGAUAUUUCCUUUGAAAACCAAAAGUAAAACAUUGUCAGUCUAUAAAAUUUUCAAAAACCAAAUUGAAAAACAACUUGACAGACCUAUAAAAUGUCUUCAAUCAUACCGGGGUGGAGAAUUUAGAUCCUUUGUUAACUUUCUUCACACUGAGGGAAUUCACUUUAGACAUUUAUGUUCAUAUACUCAUAACCAAAAUGGAAUUGUAGAGAGAAAUCAUAGACAUAUUACCAAACUUAGUCUUACUCUACUUGCACAAGCAACUUUACCUAUUAAAUUCUAGUGGGAUUCUUUCCAUACAGCCACAUACAUCAUAAACAGAUUACCCACCCCAAUUCUAUCAAUGAAAUCUCCUUAUGAAUCUAUCUAUCAUCUUCCUCCAGAUUACAAAUUCUUAAGAACAUCUGGAUGUUCAUGUUUUCCCUUUCUUAGAAACUACAAUCAACACAAGUUUCACUCUCAUACAUCUAAAUGUAUUUUCCUGGGGUAUAGUCAUUUGCAUAAGGGUUACAAAUGUGUCAAUCCCUCUGGUAAAAUCUAUAUAGCUAGUCAUGUUAUUUUUUUAUGAAACCUCAUUUCCAUAUUCAUAUAUUUUCAGCUCAUAUUCUCCAUCCAAAUCUUCUGAAUUUCAAUACAAUCUUCUUCAACAGUAUAUUAUUCAUGUUUCCAAUAGCAAUUUAAACACCUUUGAAGUCGAUACUGUAGAUAAUGAUACAUAUUCUCAUCACCUUCAUACCAUAUCUUCACCACUCUUUCACAAUACAUCAUCUCAACCCUCACCACCUGCUACUUUAUCCCAUUCAGCCAUAACUUCUUAACCAACUCAACCAAUUCCCUUUAUACCUCUAACUGAUACAACACAAAAUACAUCAUCCUUACAACCCAUCAUAUCUCACUCUCAAAUUCAACCAACACACUUAUCUAAACCUAAACCAAUUCUCUCCACACAUAAAAUGAUCACUAGAGCAUAAGCUGAGAUAUUCAAACCGAAAGCCUACUUAACAAAUCACAACAGCCCGGAACCAUCUACUGUUUCAGAAGCAUUAUCUGAUCCCAAACGGAAAGCAGCAAUGCAAACUGAAUAUAAUGAUAUGAUUAAAAACAAAACUUGGAAUCUUGUGGCUUUGUGCUCAACCUAUAAACUAGUUGGGUGCAAAUGGGUGUUCAGAACCAAGUACAACAUAUAUGGCUCAGUUUCAAAAUAUAAAGCUAGGUUGGUAGCCAAGGGAUUUCAUCAAACUGCAUGUAUUGAUUAUUCAGAAACAUUCAAUCUUGUAAUGAAGUCCUCAACAAUGAGAUUAAUUCUUAGCCUAGCUGUCAUGAAAGGUUAGACAAAUUGAUGUCAAUAAUGCCUUUUAAAUGGGGAUUUGUCAGAGGAUGUGUAUAUGAUUCAGCUUGAGGGUUUUGUAUCCAAAGAAGGCUACAUAUUCAAGCUUAACAAGGUACUAUAUGGAUUGAAACAAGCUCCAAGAGCUUGGUAUGAUAAACUGAAAAGCUAUCUUACUACUUGAAAAUUCUUCAAUUCUAAAGCUGACACGUCUCUCUUUGUUGAACAUGAUGAAAAAGGCAUUAUUAUUGUCUUAAUCUAUGUUGAUGAUAUUUUGGUUACUGGCCCUGACUCAGCAUUACUUGAAGAUUUCAUUAUUAAACUCAGUAAGGUUUUUGCUCUCAAGGACUUAGGAUUAGUGGCCUAUUUUCUUGGAGUAGAAGUUUGUUACACAACUCAUGGAAUGCAUCUUUCACAGACAAAAUAUAUUAAGGAUUUGUUAAGUAAAGCCUCAAUGCAAAAUUGCAAAGGAUCAGAUACACCUUUUAGUACUGGUUUCAAACUGGAGAAAAAUGUUAAGGGUCCAUUGGGGCAAGAAUUUGAAGAACCAGCACUUUAUGGAAGCGUCAUUGGGGGACUUCAGUACUUAAUUCUCACCAGGCCUGACAUUGCAUAUUCUGUACAUAAACUCAGCCAGUAUCUUAGCAAUCUUACACUCCAGCACUGGUUAGCAUGCAAGAAAGUUCUCAGGUAUCUUCAAGCUACAACCACUCAUGGUUUAUACAUUCAAAAUGAGGGAACACUUGGAAUUGCAGGUCUAACAGGUUACUCUGAUGCUAACUUGGCACGUGAUGUUGAUGAUAAAAAAUCUAUUGGAGCUUACUGUAUUUACCUUGGUAAUAAUCUGAUUUCCUGGUCAUCAAAAAAGCAAGUUAUUGCAGCUAAGUCCAGCACAAAGAGUGAAUACAGGGCACUAUCUUCAGCAAGUUCAGAACUCUCUUGGUUGCAAUCCCUACUAUCAGAGCUUAAUAUUGUGCAAUUACCAACUCCAAUUCUUUGGUGUGACAAUCAGAGUGCUGGAGAAUUAGCCCGAAAUCAUAUUCUUCACUCUAAAUCUAAACACAUUGAAUUGGGUGUUCAUUACAUUAGAGACAAAGCGCUUGGAAAAGAAUUAGAAGUAAAAUACAUUCCUACUGAAGAACAAGUUGUUGAUGUCCUUACUAAAGCUCUGUCAUUUAUCAAGGUUUACUACUUUUGAUUCAAGCUCAAUGUCAUCAACAGGCCAUUGAGCUUGAGGGGGGGAUGUUAAGGAAGCUCAUAUUGCAAGAUGGUCAGCAGAGCAGAGGAUCACAGCAGCAGCCAUAUUCAGUUACGAGUUGAUGACAUGGCAUGCCAGCUAGAGCCUGGUGGUUAUGUAAAUAGUUGUGCAUGUGUUAAUUAGCUUAAGCUGUUAUGAUUAGUUGCUAGAAUUAGUUAAUUAGCUGUAGCUAAUUACAACUAUCUGAGUUGAGCUUCAACUUAGUAUAAAUAGCAACAGCAUUGUACAUAUUAUUAAUAACGUGAUUAAUGAAAAUGAUGUUCUAGAACACCCUUAGAUUCAGUUCUAAUUUUCUCACUGAUUUUCUCUGUUGCCAAACAAUAUUUUCGUUCUUCAACUCUGGCGGAGGCGUUGGCACCCCAAAAACUUGUGGAUUGGUUCUGAUAUCUUGUCUUCCUCUAGCUCUUCCCAAGUAAAAGCACCCAAAUCCAAGCAAUAGGCUGAACAACAUCAACGGAAUGAUAUCACCACCACCAUACCCAUCUUUAUUUGAUUUGAUGAUCAGAAAUCGCAGCAGAAGAGAGGUUUAUAUAAGAAUAAGAGAAUGAGAGAGAGCUAUGAAUGAACUAUGAUGAUGAUGAUGACGAUGAUACGGAGGUUUCGGAUUCUCUCUUCUUUUAAGAACAUGUUUCUUUCUUAACGGUUGGCUUAACGUUCAAGCUCUAACGGUUACUUUUAUUGUUGGGCCAGUUAAAUAAUUCUCCUAAUACAAAACAACGUUAAAUAAAUAUUGAGAUGGCUAUUCAUCCCGCAAUUAUAAAGGUAUAGUAUUUUGUUCAUUCUUGUUUAAAAAAAAAAAAAAGACUCUAUAGAGUUCAAUGUAUGGAGCCUUCUCAUGGUGUUCGGAUUCAACAUGUGCCAAAGUCCUCUAAUCAGCCGACCCAUUUUCUAUCUAAACUAACUUUUAACUGAAAGCUAUGAUUUCAUAAUUUUUAAACCAGUGUACUGGAAAAUGAAGCGAAAAAGAAGAUGGAAAGAUGAAGAAUAAUAAUACAACAUGCUUGUUACCUCAAUACAUUAAUAAGGGUAAUUAACGGUCUACAAAUACAUUUUGUUUAUUAUUUUGAGGACUUGUUUCAUUUUAUUUACGUGCAUUGAUGUCUUCCCAAAAUCAGAAGUUUUUAAUGAACUUCGACAAUGUUGCCUGCCACUCGUAGUCAUAGAACAGUAUUUCGUGCUGCACAUAUGCAUGUACUGUAAUUGCUAGAAAUAGCUCGACGGGAGAAAUUUAAGGCACCAUAAGAAGCAGAUCAUUCCACCACCACAAGGCUGCUUUUGUUUCAGAAACUGUCAAAUAGUAAGAUCACAGCCGCGACGCGACAAAAAUAUUUCUCACCUCCCUUCUGCUAUAAUAUCACUUAGCUGUGUGACAUUUACUGGGGAGACUAAUGCAUUAGUUCCUUCACUAUGAUCAUCAACUGGAUUUUCUCUUUCGCUUUUCUCCUUGCUGUUACUUCUUUUAUUAGAUGAUGAAGGCGUUGGCGUGUCUUCGUUCAAAAAGCUUGCUGUUAUAUCUUUAAAAUCCCAAUCUGUCAAAUAACUUGGCCUUGAAAUAACUGUGCCAACUUCUACAUCCCCAGCAAGCAUGGCCACAACGCGUGACAUUGGUGGCCUCAUCAUUGGUGAUGCUUGAGUGCACAAGAGAGCUACUCCUAUCACCCGAAGAGCUUCCUUGUCGUUAAACUCUGUUAAUGUAGGAUCUACAAGCCCCAAACUUUGAUUAUUUUCAUGGAGAUUCCAAGCCUAGAAACGUCAUAUAGACAAUAAUUCAGAUGAAGAUUGAAAGAAUUAAGUUUCUUUAACCAGAAGAAUGCAGAGAUAAGAAAGAAAAGGAAGCAGAAUGAAGUUCAAGAUUAUUUUCUUCACCCAUUCGAGAAGAUAAAUCUUUUCCGUAUCCAAACUGUUGUCAGAGUUUGCUCUUCCACUUAUCAUCUCCAACGCAACAACGCCAAAACUGAAAACAUCGGCCUUCUCUGUCAAGUGUCCGCGCAUUGCAUACUCCGGUGCCAAAUAUCCACUACAAGCUCAAUAGUUACUGAUCAAAAUCUCCAAACUCCAUUGUGUCCAAAAAUUGAAAGAUAAGGCGUGUGUGGAAUUAUCAUUUUUGGAAGAAUGGAAUGAAGAAAUGUUGAAGGAGAUUACAUGGUCCCUGCAACUCUUGUGCUGAUGUGGGUUUUCUUGUCAUCAAACAGCUUUGCCAAUCCAAAAUCUGAUAUCUUGGGGCAGAGCUCUGCAUCAAGUAAAAUAUUACUUGCUUUGACAUCUCGAUGUACAAUCCUAGGCCUGGAUUCUUCGUGAAGAUAAGCCAGCCCUCUUGCUGUUCCCAAGCAUAUACUGAACCUGGUAGGCCAAUCCAGACGCAAUUCAUGGUCUCCUGCAGAAAUGUCGGCUGCAGUGGUUAGAAAUUUAUGGAGUUACAGAAGGGCAAAUUGAUAAUUCUAGGGUAAUUUAUCUGCAUGAGGUCUCACUGAGACAUUGUCAAUCAGCUUUAGGAUAGUGAUUGUGGCUAAUUUGCUGUUAUUGACAUUGUCUAAACAACAGAUUUUGGAUUUAAGAUUACAAAAUAGAUCAUGCAAUUUCCAAAAGUCAGUGACUCAGCACUUUCUUCUUUGAAUUCUUUGCCUCAGCAACCAAGUUAAAACACGGCGUUUGCGCUAUUUUCUACUAAUUAGUAGUAAGAAUGAAUUGAUUAUCAUACAGUAAGAAUGAAUUGAUAAUCAUACCGAACAAUACUUGAUCGAGGCUUUUGUUUUCAAGAUACUCAUAAACAAGGAGGCGCCUGGCUCCUUCAAUGCAGCAUCCAUACAAUCUCACAAGAUUGCGAUGUUGCACUGCAGAUAUGGUAGCAAUCUCAUUUACAAAUUGAUUCUUCCCUUGGUGAGAUGCUAUUGAAAGUUGCUUCACAGCUAUUACUCUCCCAUCAGAUAGAGUACCCUGUCAAGUACAACAUUUGGCAAUUUGAAAACAUAUCGACUACAUCCUAGUGAAAAUUGCUUUGUUGUCUAGUUGCAAUGACAGGCUAUGAUCACCCAUUACAAGUACUGGAUGGCAACGCUAGGAUGAAAGAAAACUAUCAAUUGGCUGAAAUCUUAAUAUGUAUAGUUACCUUGUACACAGGUCCAUAUCCUCCCUCUCCAAGCUUGUUUGAAGGGUCAAAGUCUUUUGUUGCAGAUCUCAACUCAGCAUAGCUGAAAAUGUUUGGUUUAGAGCCUAUCCCAACUAGCACUGCAGGUUCAACCAAGACAAAAAUUAUGGACAGAGUAUAGGAUGGGAUACCAUAACUGUUCGUGAAUAUCAAAAUUACAAAAUAAUGAAGGACUUAUAUUACAAAAGAUGAAUUAAGCAGAACAUUUACCAAUAUGGAAUUACAAAUUCAUUGAGUUUCAUGAACAAGCUUGCGAAACUACUAUUACAUAUUGUAAAAUUGUCAAUGGACUCUUCUUACCUUCCUCAUCAUCGUUGUCUUUUUCUCUCCGCAUGUAGAACACUAUAGAUAUCACUACCGAUCCUAAAAUUCCGAGAGGGACUGCAAUACCAACAAUCAAACCUGUGUGACUCUUCUUCCCUGGAGUACUUGGGGGUAAUCCACUUGCAGUUGGUGGGAAAGCUGAGCAGAAAAAACUCAGUUAUUACCAGCUGGAAGAGGCAUAUAAGCCAUUUUAUUUAUUAUAUUCCAUCUUAAAUGAAGAUUCACUCGAAUCAUAUGCUUUACCUGAAACAACACUGAGAGCUGAAAUUGCUGGUCCAUAAUUACCUUGUUCAGGUAUGCAGCAGGUCCCUUUACCAGCCCAAAAUAGGUGAAUUUCGAGAUGGUUUUCUGACACAGUAGCACUGAAGUUUUUUAUAAUAGCUCUGUUAGGCCCUCCCGCCUCCUUUGAUAUGUCAAAAUCCUUCCACUGGAGACGUCCCUAGAAGAUAGACAAUUAGAGAUAGAAUUAUUAUUUCUCAAUGCAUAAAGAGAGAGAGAGAGAGAGAGAGAGAGUUGUAAUUUCGGAAUCACAUGAUCUCCAGCUCCAAAUUUUGGUUCAGGGCAUAUGUUCACCUGAACAUAGAUAUCAAAAACACGCCUUCCAAGACUCUCCCACCUUUCUGUGCUUGGAUCAGGAAAAUUUGUUUCUGCAAAUAACAAGCUUACAUUAUAAGGUCCAUUCACAAGACCCAGGCCAUAGUAUCUAAGUGAUCCGGCAGAUAUCCUUGACGUCUGAUAAAGCUCUGGGGUCCUGGUGCCAGUCACUUGUGCUAGAGUGUUUAGCACAUACGCUGGAUUUUCUCUUUCAUUAAACAAACCCACUUUACUAACUGCCCAUUUUUCUGUAUUGGUCACAACAAAGGCCGAUGCGCCAAGAUAUGAGUUAUCACCCUCAUACACUAUGUUAUCAGCUCUCAUUUCUGGACUACCACAUUUGAUUGAGAAGUUUGCAUCUGCAAAUGCAAAGACAAAAAUUUCUAGCUAUUUUCAGAUUGAAUUCCGACAUCAAAAUUUCACCAACAUUUUUGCAUAAAAGUCAAUAACUGGGUAAAGAGAAAUCAUUCAGGCAAUUUUUUUUUUUUUUUUUAAUUACACAUCCGGCACUCUACAAAUAUUUUUCAAUUCUCAUCACAUGCGAACUCUCUUUAUCACAUCAAAGCUUUUUAAAGCUAAGAUGGCUUAAUACACCAAAUUUAUAAUGUAACUACUCUACAAUUUCGACUGACAGUGGUAACAAAAAUUGUCCCCACUUGCAACACAGCUACCUGAAGUCAUAUUUAAAACUUCUGUACUACUUCUUGCUCUUUUUUUCCUCCGCAAUUCAGAAGUAUGGUUAGACAAGCGUUCUUUCUUCUAAAUGUGAAACUACAAUAACUUAUAAAAAUAUGAUACUGCAAACAGCAGACAGAAGGCAGCUUACAUUGUGGAGCAUUUCUAUUGCACGGGAAGUUCCUCUGAAGACAGCUCAAUCCUGGAAAGACACUGGCAAGCACAGAGAACAAUUAGUUCACAUUAUCUGUUAGCAUGAUUAAAAGAAAAGUAAAGGACCAAAACUCACCUUAUGUUUGAUAUGUCAAAUUUGAAGUUGUUCACUGCCAGAUUCCUAUACAGUUCUAUGCAAUGCAUUAAUUGUAAAAUUUUUGGACAGAGAUGCAAGGGCAACAGACUUCAUGAAAUUCUCAUACAACUGUUAUAGUUAAAUGAUAAAAGUAAAGAAACUAGGACCAUUGGUUUAGUAUGAGCAAUAAGCUUGACAAACUCUGAACUCAAGCACAAAGAGGCAAUUCUAGAAAAUGAAGACGAACGGAGCAUUAUCAUAUUUUAAGAGACAUACAUUUGUAGUUCUGAAGUUGCCCACGAUGGAAAAGUUCCUGAUAGAUGAUUAUGAGAUAAAUCUCUGCAGGAAACAUUUUGUUAAGCACCAGUAAAUGAGUUCGAACAUGUGAACCAACCAACAUAUACAUAUGUUAGACAAGUAAAAAAUCUGGCUGAGUAUAUUGAUUGGUUGCCAGAGAAAGAGGCCAAAAGUCACAACUGAUGCACGCAUGGAAGAUGAAAAUCACUGGCCUAAAUCUAAAACACUUUCAAAUCGAAACAUGCAAUGUAUAUUCUCAUGGUUUGAAUUGCAAGUACAGAAGAGAAAAUCAGUGUUUAUGUCUGGAUAUAAGGGCACAUUGAGGAACAAGCAUAGGGAUGAAUUUCUAGAAUUUUUCGUUAAAUAAAUCAGAAAGCUGAACCAAAGCUUACAUUUUUUGAAGUUUUUCACUUUUUUCAUCAGGAAGUGUUCCCGACAAACUAUUGUUUCCAAGAAACCUGGCCAUUGAAGCAGUAAAAGGAGCAUCAGCAAUAACAAAACAAUGACCAAAGUCCAAAAGUAAAAAUCUUGAAUUGAUGAAGGAAAGCUUCAAAGAAUUUACAAGUAAUUAAGAGAAGAUAUAUUGAACAAAGUUGCUGGGAUUUGGCCUGUUAAGUUGUUGAAACUCAAGUCCCUGCAAAAUAUAGAUAAAAAUUUUGGGAAAAAUAUAUAUCAAAAUGAAAAAAGGAAAGUGCCACUAUAUAAUUUAUUUCUUAAUAUCAACUUACAAUAUCUGUAACAUUUGAAGAUCUCCAAUUCUAGAUGGAAUUGUACCAGUGAUCAGAGCAUGUCUUAGGGACCUAUGGAGCAGAAGAACAAAAAACCAACUGAUAACUAAUCAGUUUCAAAAUGAAAAGGCUGCCAAACACAAUGAAAUAUAUAGGAAGUAUACUUACAAGUCAGUUAAGUUCUUCAAACUCAUUACGAAAUCAAGAGAUGAACUCACAUUAUAUAUAUCGCUGAUUCGUCUACAGAAUCAAUUCAAACAUCACGGAUAUGAUUCAUUCUUCCAGAGAGAGAAUGAGAGACCAAGAGACUGUCAGAAAAAGAUUUACUCACAAGGAUUCUAACGAAGCCAACUUAGACAAACUGGACGGAAUAGGACCUUGAAAAGAAUUCCCUUGAAAUCUCCUACAGCAACAUUUUGACAAACAUGUUAGGAAAGCUGUCAGAAGCCAAGCAAAAUCUUUAAUGCCCUACACAGAACACAGAGAAUGUAUAUAGUCAAGGAGUUUUUUGAAGCAUACAGGGACUUGAGCUUAGUCCAAUUGCCAAUGAAGUCAGGUAUUUUGCCUGUAAAAGGAGCGUCUGAUGCCCACCUGAAAUUUAACAAAUUAAUCAAUUUAGGCAGCAUAAUCUUUAUACAAGAGGAGAAACAAAAUGGCAUAUGUAAAAAACUUUGCUUACAGAGUUUGCAUACUACGAAGUUUAGCAAAUGUAGAGGGAAUUUCACCACCGGCCCCACAACUGUUUAUGUAACUGUUGAAUUUAUCAAUUGAAAAUUACUUUGUUUCAUAAACCUGCAGCUUUGCUAAAUUGAAAAAAAAAAUGAUAAUGAUCAAAUAUGUAAAAAGAAAGAAAGAAAUUUAGAAUCUACAGUUGCUCAAGUUUGGCUAAGUUGCCAAGUUCUGGAGGGAGUGUUCCUGAGAAAUCGUUGGUACCAAAAGAACUGCAAUUUGAAAUUAAAAGUUAUACACUGAUUUAAAAGAAGAAGAAGAAAAAAUUGUUGAAAAAGAAAUGCCAUCUUACAGAAUAGUUAAUUCCUUAAGGUUUCCUAGCUCCCUGGGGACAGGCCCCGAGAAUCCAUUGUGGGCAACUGACCUGUACACAAAAAUAUAGCACUGCAUUAGACAACACACAAAGAAUAAAUAAUUUGCAGCCUAAUCCAAAAAUCAAAUCAGAGAAUAUUAGAAAAAGCCAAUUUCAAUACUUACAGAAGCAUCAAUCGAGACAAAUUUCCAAUAAAUGAAGGCAAGGGGCCAGUGAAGAAAUUUUGAUCAAUUUUCCUACAAAAUUCAAAGAGAAGUUGUUAAUCGCGAUGAUUACGUAAAUUUGAUUUAUACAUACAAACUGAAUGGCAGAUAAAAUAUCUGAGUGAAAAAUCCAUACAGAAAUGUCAGGUACUGCAAAGUUACUAGUUCUUCAGGAAUCACCCCUUUUUUGUUUAGUGCAUAUACUCUCCUGUGACCAAAAAAAAAAAAAAAACAAACAAACCAAUCCAUUAGAUUGCAGCUGCAUCAGCGAUUUCAGAAAUUAAUAUUAAUUAACAAGCGCAGAGAUAUAUUAAGAGAGCAUUACAGUUUAGUAAUGUGGCAAGUAGCACCAUUGUCAAAGGUACAGUCACAAACAAUAGCAGGAUUGUUAUCUGGGCUCUCAAAUUCAGAAUCAGUUGCAUUUAGUGCAGAUCCACUGCAUGGCUCUCCACUUAUGUUCCAUAAUGGCACCGCCGGUGCAUCCCAUUGUUGCAGUAUUGAGUUCAGUGCCCUCACUGCUCAUCAAACACAUGCAUGCAUGGUAGCUUUGUUACCAAAUGAUAUCAUUUAAUUCCAUAAAUUCAUUAAUAUAUUGUGAUGCACCUGCACGCUUGUAAGCAAAACGCGGCUGAUUUUCAAAAGCAACGGCAAGCUGUUUGCUUUAAUUAGAGCACACGCAUGCUUCACCUGCGUGCUUGUCAUGCAUGCUGAUAGACGGUGGGCACAUAUAAAGAUAGAAGAAAUUGAAAGAAAACGAGAGAAAGAAAGAAAAGAAAAGAAGAGAUAAAAUAGAAAGGAGAAAAUAAAAGCAAAAGAGAAAGAAAAUAAAAGGAGAAAAGAAAUUAAGAAGCCAAGAGUGAAAAUCAAGUAAUAAUGGAAGCUAAUAAGGGAAAGUUACGGGGACAUGAAUUCAACAGUUACAUUUAUAUUUCGAGAAUUAGUGGAUAAUGGAUUUAGAAAGUAUGAACAGUUAUGUUAUAAUUUUUAGCAUACUUGUGAGUUUUUGAGUUUUUAUAUCAGUUGUAAAUUUUUUAUAGUAGGAUUUUAGUCCAAAUUUUAAAGUGUAGAAAAAGUCUGGAAAAUCUUUAAAAUUGUAUAGUUUUAAAGAAUUAUGAAAUUAAUACUUUAAAAUUGUAGGGUUUUAAAGUUUUGUCGGACUUUCUCGCACUUUAAAAUUUUGCAUUGAAAAUUUUUUAUAAUUUUUUAAUCUUGUGUUUAAAAGAAAUUCAAGUUUCUAGGAAUUAACAGAAGCCCCACAAAAAAAAACAGUAAUUGAGUCAGGAUUUGUGAGAUGAUUUAAUAGUAUGAUUUAGUAUCAUAUCAUGAUUAUAUGUAUGCUCAUUAUACGAUUGAUUGAGUCUGAUUGCCAAGCACCAUAUGUGUACUCUUCAUGUUAAGUGCUUUGUGUAUGCAUAUUGAGAGUUAAAGUACUCUACCUGUGUGAUGUAGUUAAAUUCCGUUUGAUAAUGAGAUGUUAUUCCUCUCUCUACUCACGCGAUAAUAAUCUCGAUGAGUGUUGCAAUUAUUUUCCCUGGGUAAUAUUUAGUGCAGUUUUCUCAUGUAUAAUUUCAUGUUUGCUUAUAUAUUAUGUUCAGUGCAGAAUUAUGUCAUAUGAUUGUGUAUAAUUAUUAAUGCACUACUUUAUUUUAAUAUAUAUAAUUAUAUCUACUCAUUGAGCUGCAAGUUCGCUAUUUUCUUAUUUAUCCAAUUUUUUCUAGGUUUUCGCAGGAUUUCAUACAGUUCAUUUUCCAUUAGUUGAGGUUGGGCCACGAUGUGCAGUGUUGCAUGACUUGCAUUUUAAGCACGUUUAUGCUCAUAUGUAUAUAUAUUUAAGAUAUAUGCAUACAUAGUGAGAUGUGAAGUGUGCAAGUUUCGAAUAUGUUUUCGGAUAAGGCAUAUAUGUUAUUAUAUAUUUUCACGUGAUUUGGAUUAGACCCAAUAGUUGGGUCGGGUGGGGUCGUAUCACACACACACUCAUGUAGUCGUUCUCUAGUGUGAGUGCCAUCAUUUUUUUCAUGCGGGCAUACUUUUAAACCAUGAUGUUUAAGAGAGUUAUGAUUUUUCACUCUUUUAAGCCGUACGGUUUAAAAGUUUAAAAGCAUGUCUGCAUUAAAAAAAAAAAAGAGAGAGAGUGCCUGCACUUGAGAAUGAUUAUGUAUAUAUUUGUAAUCAUUCUCAGGUUCGGGUGCUUUUUUUAUUUUUUAAUGUGGACACGCUGUUAAAUCGUACGAUUUAAUAACGUAUUUAGGGUUGGCAAAAACACGGGCUUGAAGCCCCGUCGACAUGAGUUGGGCCUGAUUAUGGGCUUAAAAAUACAAAGUCGGCACAUAUUGGACCUAGAUAAGGGCCUAGUUUUUUAAUUUAUAAAAAAUAAAUUAAAUUUAAAUAAAAACUCAAAAUAUUAAAUUAAUAUUUUUUUCAUAUUAGUAUUUGUGAUUAAUUAUGUUGUGUUAAUAAUAUUUUGUGUAUUAGACUAUUAUUCUAUUACUUAUUGGAUAAUUAUUUUUAAUUUAAAUAUUUUUUACUUUAUUAAAAAAUUAUUUUAUUUUUAAUGGAACAAGCCCAAGCCUGGCUCAGGGCUUGCCCGUCCAAACUUGGAAGGAUUUUUGAAGGGCCUGGGCUUGUUAUCUAUAAUAUGGGCUUGAGCCAAGGUUUGGAAAAGUCCGACACAAGUUCAUAUUUUGCCAACCUAAGCGUGUCUGCAUUGACUUUAUUAAACGUUUAAUAGUGUGUUCGCAUGAAAAAAAUGAGAGCCUCCACAUUAGAUAAGGAUUAUAUAUGUACACUUAUUAGAGUUAAUGCACUUUAGAUAUGAUUAUAUAUAAAAUCAAUGUCUUUUUUUUAUUAUUAUUAAUUAAAGAGUGAAUUUGUAGAACGAAUUUUAAAUUCGAAGAUUUUGAAUUCCUUCGUCUACGAUGUAAAAGUAUACACACAAUUAACAAUUUUGAUAAAAAUUGAAUUAAGAGUUUCUAGCAAAGAAUGCCAAAAUUCAGUCCUGCCUCUAAAUUAAUUAAGUUAUCGCCUUUUUUUUUUUUUUUGGACUUUUCGGGUGGGGGUGGGUGGCGUAUGGAAUGAACAUUUAUAUCAUGUACUGUUUGAGAUAUAAUUUGGGUUUAGAAUCACUCUUUUUCAGAAUGUUUCAACUCAUUUAUUAAGAAGGAUCCACAUGCUUGACUAAUAGGGGCUUGAAACCAGGCAGCGAAGAUGGUCCUUAAUUAUUGUAUGUAUCUAUGAUAUAUCUCAAUGUGAAAAUUUCAAUUAUUAUAAUUAUUAUAUUGAAAAAAAAAGUGAUCCCAUUAGAUGAAGAAAUCAUUGAAGUUAAAUAGUUAAAGGUCUUUAUAUAUGUAGCCUCGUUUGUUUGAAGUCUAAAGAGAUAAUAAUGUGAAAUAUAUGAUUUAGGAAAAAAAAUUGAAAUUGCACAGCUACUUUCACUUUUUGGAAACAGAAAAAGUCCACGAUUUUUUUUUUUAAAGAAUUAUACAAAUAUAAAAUUUUAGUCGAAGUUAAAAGAAUAACAUCUCUAAUUGGACAAAAUGAAACACACAUAUUUAUAUCCUGGUUAAGAAUUCAGUUUUAAUUUAUGUUUUUGCUAAACAAUGAACCAAUGGUUAUUAGGCAAAUAUUUAUAUAUAUAAUUCUGAUCACGACUCAGUAUGAAAAAAAAAAAUUCAAUAUAUAUAUAAUUCUGAUCAUGACUCAGUAUAAAAAAAAAAAUUCAAUUCAGUAUUAAAUCCUAAUCUCUAUAUCCGUACGGGUUAUAUUGAUGAUAUUGGGAUGAAUAUAUUUUAUUGAAACAGAAGUUAUAGACCUAACAUCCCUGACUGUACAGUAAUGAACUCUAUAUUACUACACUGCUAGCUUAAUUAUCAUCUAACACUGUAAUUUUAAAUAACGAACUAAAGCUUCAUAUAUUUUAGCUACUGGCUAGGUUUCUGACUUUCUGCAGCUCACUGUGUAUAUAAAGUUAAUUGUUUUCAGAAAAGAAUCAGGCUACUGCACAUACACAUAAUUAAUUUAUGUCAAAUUAAACAAAGAAAAGAAAAAAGAAUAAAAAAAGAAAAGAAAAGAAAACGGCGGGCGGUGGCUGGCUAGCAAGAGAAUUAAUUAACGAGAAGAAAUUAAAUGAGUUAAAGAAAAUGGAUAUACAUACCUUCAGCAGGGUCAGUCGUAGCAGUGGUGUUAUUUUGAGCGUUGGAUAAACAAAUUAGCAGGAAGAGAUGAGCGAAUAGUAGUGAGGAAGAAAGCAGCAGCUUCAACGAUCCCACUCCAAAAUUCAUCUUCAUUUCUCGUUACAAUUUACAAACCCAGAAUAAGGAGAAUUUAAUGCUAAUUUUUGAAUCUAUAGUUUUGUUGAAGUUAAAGAAUAUGUAGAAGAAGAAGCUGGCCAGAGUCGGUCAAUAUUUGUUUUUUUUUGUUUUUUCAGUGGUGCAUGCAUUUUAAGUCGUUCCAUCUAUCAAAGAAAAGUCGUUCAAAAACAAAAUAAAAAAUAAAAUGUAUCAGAAUUGACCAAAUUCAACUCUCAUAUGUGCAUAAUAAAAACAAUAUAAUACAUUGCAUCUUAACCAAUACGAUGAAAUCUUAGUGUCUCUUUCCCCACCCUCACCAGAUUAUUAUUAUCCACAGCACUUUUGCUGACGCAAACUCAACAUAAAAUUGUAUCAACAUAUUCAAUUUAGAAGAACGCAGAGUAUUACUCCCAGGGACACAGUACAUCUGUACACACCCAGCGCAGAAGAGGGGAAAAACAAUAUCUGCACAUGCUGAAGAAGCAAAGCAAUGAAUUAAUCAGAGUCUAGACGUUGGCUGAAUUGUCAGGCUUGAAUUUAGUAGCAGCAGCAGCAGGAGGGGAUGGGUAAGUGAAUGUAGUAGCUUCACUGCCUGUGCCUGGCUGUCAAGGAAGCUCAUAUUUGCAAGAUGGUCAGUAGAGCAGAGGAUCACAGCAGCAGCCACAUUCAGUUACGAGUUGAUGACAUGGCAUGCCAGCUGGAGCCUGGUGGUUAUGUAAAUAGUUGUGCAUGUGUUAAUUAGCUUAAGCUGAUAUGAUUAGUUGUCAGAAUUAGUUAAUUAGCUGUAGCUAAUUACAACUAUUUGAGCUGAGCUUCAACUUAGUAUAAAUAACAACAACAUUGUACAUAUUAUUAAUAACAUGAUUAAUGAAAAUGAUGUUCUAGAAAACUCUUAGAUUCAGUUCUUAUUUUCUCACUGAUUUUCUCAGUUGCCAAAAAAUAUUUUCGUUCUUCAACUUGGUAUCAGAGCUAGUAGCAAUGGCUUCAGUCCAUCUAGCUUCUUUUUCUUCUCAAGCGCCAGUCAAUCACACAACUGUUAACUCAACAAAUGUGACAUUUACUUUCAAUACACCUAUUGAGUUAGAUCAAUCCAAUUAUUUGAUUUGGCGAUCUCAAGUUCUUGCUUUAAUUUGUGGCAACAGACUUGAGAAAUUCAUUGAUGACUCAACCACUCCACCUCCUUCACAUAUUGCUAAAAGAAUUAGAGAUGAUAUGAGAUUUGUAGAGAAUCUAGACUUUAUAACUUGGAGAUCACAAGAUCAAGUGCUUCUUGGCUGGUUGCUUUCUUCAAUGAGUGAAGGUAUCAUUAGUCUAGUCUUCAAUCUAGAGACUUCUCGUGAGGUAUGGAAAGAUAUUGAAGUUCAGUUUGGAUCACAAUCUAAAUCUAGGCUUCUGCACUUGAGAUAUAUGAUGAACUCAACUAGGAAAGAUGAUCUAAAAAUUACUAAUUAUUUCAUUAAGAUGAAAAAUAUUGUUGAUAAUAUGGCUGCAGCAGGAAAUGCAUUAAGUGAUGAUGAUUUAAUUCUGCAUAUACUCUUUGGCUUAGUCCAGAUUAUAACUCUGUUGCUACCUACAUUACUGGACAAGUAAGAGUGGGGAAAAUGAAUGUAAACGAAGCUUAUGCUAUGCUCCUAACUCAAGAAGUUAGGAUUGAACAACAAACUUAUAUGCUGGCUAAUACAGAUGUGAAACAAAAUUUUGAGGCUAAUCUUGCUCACAAUAGAGGUUAUAAAAGGGGAAAUAUGUCAGGAGGAAAAGGUUUUGGUGGCUUUGGAUAUAAUUCUAGCUAUGGAAACAUUAACAGUGCUAGCUAUAAAGGAGGUUAUGGAGGCUCUGGAUUUAAUGCUAACAGUGGAAAUGCUUAUGGCACCAAUCAUCAGUUCAAAGCUUAUCAAGGAGAUAAUCAGAGAGGUGGAGGAGGAGGUAACUGGAAUCAAAAUGCUUGAAAUAGUGGAUUUAACAAUAGUAGACCACCUGGAAACAUUAAACCUCAGUGGAAUGUCUCUAAGCCAACCUGUCAAAUCUGUUUCAGAAUAGGUCACACUGUUAAUAUUUGCUAGAAACUUGAAGAGUUUAUUGCAUCUGGAGCUUACAGACCACCACCAAAUAGAAAUCCAAAAUCUACAUAUUUGGCUAAUAUGGAGGGACCUGCUGAUGCAAAUUAGUAUCUGGAUAGUGGUGCAACACACCAUCUGACAAAUGACAUCAACAAUAUGCAUGUUUCUAAAGCUUUUGUAGGUACAUCUAAACUUUUUGUUGGCAAUGGUGCUGGAUUAAAUAUAACACAUAUUGGAAGUGCUGCAUCGAAAUCAUAUAACUCCAAUAAUGCCUCCUUAACUCUUAAACUAAAUGAUAUCCUUUUAGUGCCACAAAUUACUAAAAACCUCAUUAGCAUCUCUAAGCUCACAAAAGAUAAUGAUGUUGUGAUAGAGUUUACUGAUAACUUUUGUUUUGUGAAGGACAAGGUGAGGAAUUUGAUCAUACUGCAGGGCAAGGCUGAAAAACGUUUAUACAAAUUGCUAUUGGUUUCAUCUAAUAAGAUAGUCUCUUCUACUUCUAAUCAAAGCUAUGUUGUUGAGUUAAUUGUAUCAACCACUCCUCUUUCAAUGUUUUCAGUUGUCUAUUCUACUCUUUCAAAUAACACCUCUUGCCUGUAUACUGCAGCAACUUCCUGUAAAAUUUGAGUGUCUGUUAAGUACAUCUGUACUGCAUCAAAGAUUGGGAUAUCUAUCUUCUAAGAUCUUGAAUCAUGUAAUCAAAUCAUGUUCAUCUCUCAAUCUUGUCAAUAAGAAUAAAACCUUUUAUUUAUGUGAUGCUUGUAAAAUAGGAAAAAUGCACAAGCUUCAUUUUCGAGCUACUGAUAUCAAAAUAAAGUCUCCCCUGGAAAUAUUACAUACUGAUUUAUGGGGACCAGCCCCUGUGAUUUCAUUAUAAGGCUACGUAUAUUAUGUAAGCUUUGUUGAUGAUUUCACAAGAUUUACUUGGAUAUUUCCUUUGAAAACCAAAAGUAAAACAUUGUCAGUCUUUAAAAUUUUCAAAAACCAAAUUGAAAAACAACUUGACAGACCUAUAAAAUGUCUUCAAUCAGACUGGGGUGGAGAAUUUAGAUCUUUUGUUAACUUUCUUCACACUGAGGGAAUUCACUUUAGACAUUCAUGUUCAUAUACUCAUAACAAAAAUGGAAUAGUAGAGAGAAAUCAUAGACAUAUUACUGAACUUGUCUUACUCUACUUGCACAAGCAACUUUACCUAUUAAAUUCUAGUGGGAUUCUUUCCAUACAGCCACAUACAUCAUAAACAGAUUACCCACCCCAAUUCUAUCAAUGAAAUCUCCUUAUGAAUCUAUUUAUCAUCUUCCUCCAGAUUACAAAUUCUUAAGAACAUAUGGAUGUUCAUGUUUUCCCUUUCUCAGAAACUACAAUCAACACAAGUUUCACUCUCAUACAUCUAAAUGUAUUUUCCUAGGGUAUAGUCCUUUGCAUAAGGGUUACAAAUGUCUCAAUCCCUCUGGUAAAAUCUAUAUAGCUAGUCAUGUUAUUUUUUUAUGAAACCUCAUUUCCAUAUUCAUCUAUUUUCAGCUCAUAUUCUCCAUCCAAAUCUUCUGAAUUUCAAUACAAUCUUCUUCAACAGUAUAUCAUUCAUGUUUCCAAUAGCAAUUUAAACACCUUUGAAGUUGAUACUGUAGAUAAUGAUACAUAUUCUCAUCACCUUCAUACCAUAUCUUCACCACCCUCUCACAAUACAUCAUCUCAACCCUCACCACUUGCUACUUUAUCCCAUUCAGCCAUAACUUCUUCACCAACUCAACCAAUUCCCUUUAUACCUCUAACUGAUACAACACAAAAUACAUCAUCCUUACAACCCAUCAUAUCUCACUCUCAAAUUCAACCAACACACUUAUCUAAACCUAAACCAAUUCUCUCCACACAUAAAAUGAUCACUAGAGCAGAGGCUGGGAUAUUCAAACCGAAAGCCUACUUAACAAAUAACAACAGCCUGGAACCAUCUACUGUUUCAGAAGCAUUAUUUGAUCCCAAAUGGAAAGCAGCAAUGCAAACUGAAUAUAAUGAUAUGAUUAAAAACAAAACUUGGAAUCUUGUGGCUUUGUGCUCAUCCUAUAAACUAGUUGGGUGCAAAUGGGUGUUCAGAACCAAGUACAUCAUAGAUGGCUCAGUUUCAAAAUAUAAAGCUAGGUUGGUAGCCAAGAGAUUUCAUCAAACUACAUGUAUUGAUUAUUCAGAAACAUUCAGUCCUGUAGUGAAGUCCUCAACAAUGAGAUUAAUUCUUAGCCUAGCUGUCAUGAAAGGUUAGACAAAUUGAUGUCAAUAAUGCCUUUUUAAAUGGGGAUUUGUCAGAGGAUAUGUAUAUAAUUCAGCUUGAGGGUUUUGUAUCCAAAGAAGGCUACAUAUUCAAGCUUAACAAGGCACUAGAUGGAUUGAAACAAGCUCCAAGAGCUUGGUAUGAUAAACUGAAAAGCUGUCUUACUACUUGGAAAUUCUUCAAUUCUAAAGCUGACACAUCUCUCUUUGUUAAACAUGAUGAAAAAGGCAUUAUUAUUGUCUUAAUCUAUGUUGAUGAUAUUUUGGUUACUAGCCCUGACUCAGCAUUACUUGAAGAUUUCAUUAUUAAACUCAGUAAGGUUUUUGCUCUCAAGGACUUGGGAUUAGUGGCCUAUUUUCUUGGAGUAGAAGUUUGUUACACAACUCAUGGAAUGCAUCUUUCACAGACAAAAUAUAUUAAGGAUUUGUUAAAUAAAGCCUCAAUGCAAAAUUGCAAAGGAUCAGAUACACCUUUUAGUACUGGUUUCAAAUUGGAGAAAAAUAUUAAGGGUCCAUUUGGGCAAGAAUUUGAAGAACCAGCACUUUAUGGAAGCAUCAUUGGGGGACUUCAGUACUUAAUUCUCACCAGGCCUGACAUUGCAUAUUCUGUACAUAAACUCAACCAGUAUCUUAGCAAUCUUACACUCCAGCACUGGUUAGCAUGCAAGAAAGUUCUCAGGUAUCUUCAAGCUACAACCACUCAUGGUUUAUACAUUCAAAAUGAGGGAACACUUGGAAUUGCAGGUCUAACAGGUUACUCUGAUGCUAACUUGGCACGUGAUGUUGAUGAUCAAAAUCUAUUGGAGCUUACUGUAUUUACCUUGGUAAUAAUCUGAUUUCCUGGUCAUCAAAGAAGCAAGUUAUUGCAGCUAAGUCCAGCACAGAGAGUGAAUACAGGGCACUAUCUUCAGCAAGUUCAGAACUCUCUUGGUUGCAAUCCCUACUAUCAGAGCUUAAUAUUGUGCAAUUACCAACUCCAAUUCUUUGGUGUGACAAUCAGAGUGCUGGAGAAUUAGCCCGAAAUCAUAUUCUUCACUCUAAAUCUAAACACAUUGAAUUGGGUGUUCAUUACAUUAGAGACAAAGCGCUUGGAAAAGAAUUAGAAGUAAAAUACAUUCCUACUGAAGAACAAGUUGUUGAUGUCCUUACUAAAGCUCUGUCAUUUAUCAAGUUUAACUACUUUUGAUUCAAGCUCAAUGUCAUCAACAGGCCAUUGAGCUUGAGGGGAGGAUGUGAAGGAAGCUCAUAUUUGCAAGAUGGUCAGCAGAGCAGAGGAUCACAGCAGCAGCCAUAUUCAGUUACGAGUUGAUGACAUGGCAUGCCAGCUAGAGCCUGGUGGUUAUGUAAAUAGUUGUGCAUGUGUUAAUUAGCUUAAGCUGUUAUGAUUAGUUGCUAGAAUUAGUUAAUUAGCUGUAGCUAAUUACAACUAUCUGAGUUGAGCUUCAGCUUAGUAUAAAUAGCAACAGCAUUGUACAUAUUAUUAAUAACGUGAUUAAUGAAAAUGAUGUUCUAGAAAACCCUUAGAUUCAGUUCUAAUUUUCUCACUGAUUUUCUCUGUUGCCAAACAAUAUUUUCGUUCUUCUAACUCUGGCGGAGGCGCUGGCACCCCAAAAACUUGUGGAUUGGUUCUGAUAUCUUGUCUUCCUCUAGCUCUUCCCAAGUAAAAGCACCCAAAUCCAAGCAAUAGGCUGAACAACAUCAACGGAAUGAUAUCACCACCACCAUACCCAUCUUUAUUUGAUUUGAUGAUCAGAAAUCGCAGCAGAAGAGAGGUUUAUAUAAGAAUAAGAGAAUGAGAGAGAGCUAUGAAUGAACUAUGAUGAUGAUGAUGACGAUGAUACGGAGGUUUCGGAUUCUCUCUUCUUUUAAGAACAUGUUUCUUUCUUAACGGUUGGCUUAACGUUCAAGCUCUAACGGUUACUUUUAUUGUUGGGCCAGUUAAAUAAUUCUCCUAAUACAAAACAAGGUUAAAUAAAUAUUGAGAUGGCUAUUCAUCCCGCAAUUAUAAAGGUAUAGUAUUUUGUUCAUUCUUGUUUAAAAAAAAAAAAAAAAGACUCUAUAGAGUUCAAUGUAUGGAGCCUUCUCAUGGUGUUCGGAUUCAACAUGUGCCAAAGUCCUCUAAUCAGCCGACCCAUUUUCUAUCUAAACUAACUUUUAACUGAAAGCUAUGAUUUCAUAAUUUUUAAACCAGUGUACUGGAAAAUGAAGCGAAAAAGAAGAUGGAAAGAUGAAGAAUAAUAAUACAACAUGCUUGUUACCUCAAUACAUUAAUAAGGGUAAUUAACGGUCUACAAAUACAUUUUGUUUAUUAUUUUGAGGACUUGUUUCAUUUUAUUUACGUGCAUUGAUGUCUUCCCAAAAUCAGAAGUUUUUAAUGAACUUCGAGAAUGUUGCCUGCCACUCGUCGUCAUAGAACAGUAUUUCGUGCUGCACAUAUGCAUGUACUGUAAUUGCUAGAAAUAGCUCGACGGGAGAAAUUUAAGGCACCAUAAGAAGCAGAUCAUUCCACCGGCACAAGGCUGCUUUUGUUUCAGAAGCUGGCAAAUAGUGGAUCAUAGCCGCGACGCGACAAAAUUAUUUCUCACCUCCCUUCUGCUAAAAUAUCAGUUAGCUGUGUGACAUUUACCGGGGAGACUAAUGCAUCAGUUCCUUCACUGUGAUCAUCAACUGGAUUUUCUCUUUGGCUUUUCUCCUUGCUGUUACGUCUUUUAAUAGAUGAUGAAGGCGUUGGCGUGUCUUCUUUCAAAAAGCUUGCUGUUAUAUCUUUAAAAUCCCAAUCUGUCAAAUAACUUGGCUUUGAAAUAACCGAGCCAACUUCUAUAUCCCCAGCAAGCAUGGCCACAACGCGUGACAUUGGUGGCCUCAUCAUUGGCGAUGCUUGAGUGCACAAGAGAGCUACUCCUAUCACUCGAAGAGCUUCCAUGUCGUUAAACUCUGUUAAUGUAGGAUCUACAAGCCCCAAACUUUGAUUAUUUUCAUGGAGAUUCCAGGCCUAGAAACAUCAUAUAGACAAUAAUUCAGUUAAAGAUUUAAAGAAUUAACUUUCCUUUAACCAGAACAAUGCAGAUAUAAGAAAGGAAAGAAUGCAGAAUGAAGUUCAAGAUUAUUUUCUUCACCCAUUCGAGAAGAUAAAUCUUUUCCGUAUCCAAGCUGUUGUCGGAGUUUGCUCUUCCACUGAUGAUCUCCAACGCAACAACGCCAAAACUGAAAACAUCGGCCUUCUCUGUCAAGUGUCCGCGCAUUGCAUACUCCGGUGCCAAAUAGCCACUACAAGAUCAAUAGUUACCGAUCAAAAUCUCCAAACUCCAUUGUAUCCAAAAAUUGGAAGAUAAGGCCUGUAUGGAAUUAUCAUUUUUGGAAGAAUGGUAAGAAGAAAUGUUAAAGGAGAUUACACGGUCCCUGCAACUCUUGUGCUGAUGUGGGUUUUCUUGUCAUCAUACAGCUUUGCCAAUCCAAAAUCCGAUAUCUUGGGGCAGAGCUCUGCAUCAAGUAAAAUAUUACUUGCUUUGACAUCUCGAUGUACAAUCCUGGGCCUGGAAUCUUCGUGAAGAUAAGCCAGCCCUCUUGCUGUUCCCAAGCAUAUGCUGAACCUGGUAGGCCAAUCCAGAUGCAAUUCAUUGUCUCCUGCAGAAAUGUUGGCUGCAGUGGUUAGAAAUUUAUGGAGUUACAGAAGGACAAAAUUGAUAACUCUAGGAUAAUUUAUCUGCAUGAGAUCUCACUGAGACAUUGUCAAUCAGCUUUAGGAUAGUGAUUGUGGCUAAUUUGCAGUUAUGGACAUUGUCUAAACAAUAGAUUUUGGAUUUAAGAUUACAAAAUAGAUCAUGCAAUUUCCAAAAGUCGGUGACUCAGCACUUUCUUCUUUGAAUUCUUUGCCUCAGCAACCAAGCUAAAACAUGGUGUUUGCGCUAUUUUCUACUACUUAUUAGUAGUAAGAUGAAUUGAUUAUCAUACCGAACAAUACUUGAUCGAGGCUUUUGUUUUCAAGAUACUCAUAAACAAGGAGGCGCCUGGCUCCUUCAAUGCAGAAUCCAUACAAUCUCACAAGACUGCGAUGUUGCACUGCAGAUAUGGUUGUAAUCUCAUUUACAAAUUGAUUCUUCCCUUGGUGAGAUGCUAUUGAAAGUUGCUUCACAGCUAUUACUCUUCCGUCAGAUAGAGUACCCUGUCAAGUGCAACAUUUAGCAAUUUGAAAAAUAUCCACUAUAUCCCAGUGAAAAUUGGAAAGCAUCAACUAAGUUUUCUAGUUGCAAUGUCAGGCUAUGAUCACGGAUUAAAAGUACUACAUGGCAAAGCCAGCGUGCAAGAAAACUGUCAAUUGGCUGUAAUCUUAAUAUAUAUAUAGUUACCUUGUACACAGGUCCAUAUCCUCCCUCUCCAAGCUUGUUUGAUGGGUCAAAAUCUUUUGUUGCAGAUCUCAACUCAGCAUAGCUGAAAGUGUUUGGUUUAGAUUCUAUCCCAACUAGCACUGCGGGCUCAACCAAGACAAAAAUUAGGGACAAUAGCAUAGGAUGGGAUACCACAACGGUUUGCGGAUAUCAAGAUCCCCAAAUAAUGAAGGAUUUAUAUGACAAAAGAUGAAUUAAGCAGAACAUUUACCAAUAUCAAAUUACAAAUUCAUUGAGUUUCAUGAACAAGCUUGCUACAACUACUAUUACAUAUUGUUAAAUUGUCAAUGGACUCUUAUUACCUUCCUCAUCAUCGUUGUCUUUUUUUCUCCGCAUGUAGAACACUAUAGAUAUCACUAUCAAGCCCAAAAUUCCAAGAGGUACUGCAAUACCAACAAUCAUUCCUGUGUGGUUCUUAUUCCCCGGAGUACCUGGGGGUAAUCCACUUACAGAUGGUUUGAAAGCUGAGAAGUAAAAACUCAGUUAUUAGGAGCAAAGAAGCAUGUAAGCCAUUUUAUUUAUUAUAUUCCAUCUUAAAUGAAGAUUCACAGGAAUCAUAUGCUUUACCUGAAACGGCACUGAGAGCUGAAAUUGCUGGUCCAUAAUCACCUUGAGUAGGUACGCAGCAGGUCCCUUUACCAGCCCAUAAUAGGUGAAUUUCAAGAUGGUUUUCUGACACAGCGGCAUUGAAAUUCUUUAUAAUAGCUCUGUUAGGCCCUCCCGCCUCCUUUGAUAUGUCAAAAUCCUUCCACCGGAGAGUUCCCU